CCCUUAGAUGUUCUGGGCCGCACGCGCGCUACACUGAUGCAUUCAACGAGCCUAUCCUUGACCGACAGGUCCGGGUAAUCUUUGAAUCUGCAUCGUGACGGGGAUAGAUUAUUGCAAUUAUUAAUCUUCAACGAGGAAUGCCUAGUAGGCGCAAGUCAUCAGCUUGCGUCGAUUACGUCCCUGCCCUUUGUACACACCGCCCGUCGUUCCUACCGAUUGAGUGAUCCGGUGAAUAAUUCAGACUGCAGCAGCAUCCAGUUCCUGGAAGUUGUAGCGGAAAGUUUCGUGAACCUUAUCACUUAGAGGAAGGAGAAGUCGUAACA
rnacentral:rRNA from 1 species